AUGUUCUCUAGAUGUCUACAAGACUUGAAUGCUAGAGUCAAUACAAUAAUACAAUACUACCAACCUUACCAUCUCUGACUUCUUGAUAAAUGAAGACCAUCAUGCCAUCAUUCCAUUCCAUGUGUUGGAUUUGAUUGGUUAAACAAACCAACACCACAUCCCCCUUUUCUUUCGACUGAAAAUAUGUCUCAAGAUCAACAUCACCAUCAUUUUCUAAUUUGUUGAAUUAUUUAAAUCCUACAACAUGCUUGCAAACUUACUUGAGCCUCUACCUCCCAUCACUCCCAUGAUAUUUUUUAUCAAUAUUCACGGAUGACUUUAUUUAUUCAUACAUGUCUAUCAAAAAAAAAAAAAAAAAAAAACUCAAACCUUCAACUCUCUCUCGGCUCUAAACUCCCAGCCAAACCUUAUCCAUUUCACCUUCAUCCCUCAAUCUCUACUACACACACAUGAAAAUCAGGUCCUACCCAUCUCACACAUCUCAAACAAAACACUUCAGAUCUUAAAGGAAUUGACCAACCACGGCGGUGGAGACGGUGCACGGUGGUGGAGGCGGUGCAUGGCGAUGGUGGGUCUCAGCGGCACUGCAGUCCACGACCCCCCCCCCUCACGAAAUUUCCGAUGACGAUGGUGAUGAUGGUGAUGACAAAAGACGGGGGUGUCUGAUCGGCGACGAUUAUGGCUUCGACAAACCUUCGACAGGCCCGACGAAGCUGAUGAGGAUGAUGAAGGUUGACUGGUGAGCUUUACUUUUCUGUUAUGAACAACGAUGAAUGGAGUUUGGUCUCCGGCAGCCGUAUCUCUCAAGUCCGAAGCAGGAGUUGAUGUGCUGAUGAUGAUGGCAGAAGUGGUGGCGGUUCUGUUUCGGGUCACGUUUAAGACAAGAUUCAAGGCUCGGUUCAAAUGUCGGGUGUCACGGAUCAGUUCAUUUUUGGCUCGGGUUGUGAUGCGGGUUAACUCGGUCAAACCCGAGUCAACUCGGGUCAACACAGAUAGCUCAGUCAACUCAGCGGUCAACUCGGUUCAGUUUAGGCACGGCCCGGUUUGACCAUGGAUCAGUUUUGGUUCAGAUAUAGUGCGGUCCGAAUUCGGUCGAAGAUGGUCAAACGGGUCAACAUCAGGUCAACGGCAGUCAACAAAGGCAGCCGCAAGACCCGGUAAAUAUUUAAUUGACACGAAAUUUCUCUUUAUACAGUUAUAGAUUUCACACUUAUACGCGAUCUGAGCUUGAACCGAUUCGAUUAAAAAAAAUUAGUUACAUUUUGAUAUAUUCGACAAGAAUUACAUAUACAUUGUUUGUUUGUUGAAUAAAUUGUUGAAUUUUGACAAAAUACGACAACUCUUGUUGUCGGGUUAUUCCAAAAACAGAGGAAACUCUACCCGAUUUUCGUUAAAACCCGAAUUAUAAAACGCGUUUAAUUCUUAACAACGACACUUAUCGGAGUCUAAGUUUCUUAUAAAAUAAAUGUAAAAGUAUAUUUAUUUUAGUGACGUUUUAUAACUUAUAAGCUGAAAUUAUAACAUUUCGACGACACGCAAGUUACAACUUAACGAAA